GACGAACGCUGGCGGCGUGCUUAAUACAUGCAAGUCGAACGAUGAAGCCGGAGCUUGCUCUGGUGGAUUAGUGGCGAACGGGUGAGUAACACGUGAGUAACCUGCCCUGGACUCUGGGAUAACCCCGAGAAAUCGGAGCUAAUACCGGAUAGGACCUCGGAUCGCAUGAUCUGGGGUGGAAAGGUUUUCGGUCUGGGAUGGACUCGCGGCCUAUCAGCUUGUUGGUGAGGUAAUGGCUCACCAAGGCGUCGACGGGUAGCCGGCCUGAGAGGGUGACCGGCCACACUGGGACUGAGACACGGCCCAGACUCCUACGGGAGGCAGCAGUGGGGAAUAUUGCACAAUGGGCGCAAGCCUGAUGCAGCAACGCCGCGUGCGGGAUGACGGCCUUCGGGUUGUAAACCGCUUUUAGUAAGGAAGAAGCCGCAAGGUGACGGUACUUGCAGAAAAAGGACCGGCUAACUACGUGCCAGCCGCCGCGGUAACAC
rnacentral:rRNA from 1 species